rnacentral:lncRNA from 1 species
AUAUAGAGAGAGGUAGAUACUUAUUAUAUAUAUAAUCCCUCUUUACAUGUUCCUCAGUUGGGCCCUGAGCACUACAGCUUGUCUCCUUUAUCUGGAAGCUGAUUGCAUGCCUCCCCUCUCUCCCUGGCACAGCAGCUGGGAGCAACUUGCACAUGACCAGGCUUUAUCAUUUUACAUUGGAAAUAAUAUGUUUCCAUCCAGGAUUUCAGUGAAGCUUCAUGUUCAAUCUUUUGGGAAGUCAGGACAGGGGGAAAUGUUGUUAGUUUUUUCUUAACCAGAAGAACAUAGAAGCCAGAAGAGACAGUACUAAGCUAUUGUCCCCUAAACCAGUUUCUGGUGGAGAAAAGUGAGGCUCAGGGAGGUAAAAGUGUCUGCCUCAGUUGGUUCAUCAGCGCCAGUGGCAGUGCUCUAAGGAGACGCCAGGCCUCCGGUAACCACUCAGUGUCAGAAGUUCAGGCAGCAACAGGUGCAUGAGGAAGGAGUGGGGACAUUCCAGAAAUGCAGCUGUCAGGAAUUUUUUAAAUUGUUUUCCUUUCCUCUUGGGCCAAUCAUUGGGUAUUUACAUUCACUGUGGUCACCUGAGCCAGGUACCGCAAUUGCAUGUCCUGGAGUAGAAACUGAUGUGAUACCCAAGACUAACACUUAGUUCCUUCUUUGCCUUUAAGUACUAAGUGGAUCUGUGAUUUUAGGCAAGUGAUUGUCCCUUUCUGGGCCUGUGGUUUUUUUGUUUGUUUUACUUUUUUGUUUUUUAAUUAUCAUGACCAAAAGUCUUUUAUUAUUAACAACAAUUGCACACUUUUUGUUGGGAAAAAAGGUAUACAAAUUAUAAAACAGUUAACAAUGUUUCCUUAAGGAGAGAAGUGUUAAUGCUCUUCUCUAAUUAUGCUUUUAAUGGUAUUUUGUUCUAUUUUUUUAUUUUCAAUAGCUUCUUUAUUUCCCUUGGGAUAUUGAAGCUUUACUUAAUCUUAUUCUUUCUAAGUAGGGUAGAGAAUUCCUGUUUCAAGUCUCCACAAAACAAAAUCCCUUUUCUUGACAUAGUAGAAAGGACAGGUGCUUGGAUGUUUGGUUGGCAGGGGAAAGGAAAGAGUCCAGGUGCUACUGAUAGAAAUAUUCAACCAAAUCCUCCAGUUUUCGACUCCACCACUCACUGUGGUGCCUUCCUCAAGACCUUGGAGCUCCAAGUCUCUGAAGAAUAUUUCAGGCAAUGAGAGGAGUCCCUGACUAAGCACCAUCUAUUGAAAAGUCUCUUAUUUCUCCAUUAAAUUUUUUGGCACCUUCAUUGAAAAUCAGUCGAGCAUAAAUAAAAGCUGGGAUACAUGAAGACUGCCAUCCCUUGAGUCACUUGCCCUGUAGCUGCCACUGUUGGAAAAGGGCUUGCUUCUGUGUCCUUGUGCCCACUUUGAAAAUCCCUGGGAAGUCCUUGGAGUCAGAUGAGCAGGCCUCCGCCACUCUGCCAAAAAGUCUGUUCAGAAGUUUCACAUCACUAGAGAAGAGAGAAGAAGGACAUUUGUACUGGGAGGAGUCGACCGGUCCCAGUAAGGAGAAAGUAGCUACAGCGUCAUGGGUGAGCUGGGUCCCCCAAAAAGGAACUUUAAGGGAAUGGACUGAAUCAAGUCUGAGAUGUCCCCAAAGCAAGACCAAAGAACUGAGGAAGAGAAGCAUUCAUCAGAAACCAAAAUUCAGCUACAAGUGAGCAUCCAGAUGGAGGUAUUAUGAAGAGGAACUGAGACUGAGGGCAAAAGGUGCCAGCCAGAAUCCUGGAUAGGAGAGCAAGAACCAGGACCUCAUUUAAGAGACAACCUGCUUAAGGCAGAGUAAGCACAAAUGGGCACUCAACAUCAAUGAAGUAACAGCAAAGUCACAUAAUAAAAGCAUGGAAUUAAGACAAGCUGAAGAUUCGGAUGCAAUAAAACAACC